AACUAUGAAGCACUUUAUAGUCCAUAAACUAAGCAGAUGUAAAUAUAUUACAUAGAUAUAGUCUGGUCUUGCAAAAUUAUGAACAUGGUCCUUUGAGAAGCUCAUCAUUGACGAGAACAACACCAACCACCAUACCUUACAGAUAUGUGAAAAUAUAGACCAUAUUUCUGCAGUGUGGCAUUACAAGAUGUUUUUCACAUUGGUGAAUAUGCCUCUAGUGUUCCCCAUGAGAUACUGU